AGAGUUUGAUCAUGGCUCAGAUUGAACGCUGGCGGCAGGCCUAACACAUGCAAGUCGAGCGGUAGCACAGGAGAGCUUGCUCUCUGGGUGACGAGCGGCGGACGGGUGAGUAAUGUCUGGGGAACUGCCUGAUGGAGGGGGAUAACUACUGGAAACGGUAGCUAAUACCGCAUAACGUCUUCGGACCAAAGUGGGGGACCUUCGGGCCUCACGCCAUCAGAUGUGCCCAGAUGGGAUUAGCUAGUAGGUGGGGUAAUGGCUCACCUAGGCGACGAUCCCUAGCUGGUCUGAGAGGAUGACCAGCCACACUGGAACUGAGACACGGUCCAGACUCCUACGGGAGGCAGCAGUGGGGAAUAUUGCACAAUGGGCGCAAGCCUGAUGCAGCCAUGCCGCGUGUGUGAAGAAGGCCUUCGGGUUGUAAAGCACUUUCAGCGAGGAGGAAGGGUAGUGUGUUAAUAGCACAUUGCAUUGACGUUACUCGCAGAAGAAGCACCGGCUAACUCCGUGCCAGCAGCCGCGGUAAUACGGAGGGUGCAAGCGUUAAUCGGAAUUACUGGGCGUAAAGCGCACGCAGGCGGUUUGUUAAGUCAGAUGUGAAAUCCCCGCGCUUAACGUGGGAACUGCAUUUGAAACUGGCAAGCUAGAGUCUUGUAGAGGGGGGUAGAAUUCCAGGUGUAGCGGUGAAAUGCGUAGAGAUCUGGAGGAAUACCGGUGGCGAAGGCGGCCCCCUGGACAAAGACUGACGCUCAGGUGCGAAAGCGUGGGGAGCAAACAGGAUUAGAUACCCCGGUAGUCCAA
rnacentral:rRNA from 1 species